AAGAAAGACCAAGCACCAAACCCCUGAUACCAUAAACAAACUAUAAGAAAAACAACACCAUAACCACACACAAAACUGUAAAAAAACACUGAAAUAGAUUCGAUGUUUGAUUCAUGAAGACAUAAAGAUGACAUUGGAUCAGUUGAAUAAGGACUAAGCUAGAUAAGUUGCUUAACAUGCUUUCUUCUAUUAAUUCUAGCGAGCAACCAAUAGGAGCAGAACCUAUAAAAUGGGGGCUAGUCAAGAUAUUCUAGAUGCAUCUAGACAUGAUAGAGACAAUUUCAACUACAAGAUACAGUAAGUGACAUCACUAAGAAGCUCAAAUAAGAAAUUCCAGACUAUGAUGGUAGAGUAGAUUCUAUGCUGUUUUGUAAGAAUCCGACUUUGAUUGGCAUAAACCUUCACCUUAUAAAAACAAGAUUAAUGAAUAAAGGAAAAUUUUAGAAUUAUGCUCCAGAUUUAAUAUAGGUCCAUUGGGAUGAUAUACAGUGCCUCCUAGUCCUUUAAGAGUCUUGGCUAAGUCUUAGGAGUAUUUUUGUAUUUUCCAACUUUUCUAAAAAGCUGUCUAGAUGUCUUUUGGAGUCUUUAUUUUCAUUUUGACUAAUUAUUCAUUUAGGAUAGCAAUAAUCCUAUUAUUUUUCUUUCACGGAGUGUCCAAAGUCUUAAAGGUUUAAGAUUAAUUU
rnacentral:misc_RNA from 1 species